rnacentral:rRNA from 1 species
GCUGGCGGCGUGCCUAACACAUGCAAGUCGAACGCGAAAGUCCCGCAAGGGAUAAGUAGAGUGGCAAACGGGUGAGUAACACGUGGGUGACCUGCCUUCGAGUGGGGGAUAACGUCCCGAAAGGGACGCUAAUACCGCAUGACAUCCUGCCCUUGAACGGGUGGAGAUCAAAGCUGGGGAUCGCAAGACCUAGCGCUUGGAGAGGGGCCCGCGUCCGAUUAGCUAGUUGGUGAGGUAACGGCUCACCAAGGCAACGAUCGGUAUCCGGCCUGAGAGGGCGGACGGACACACUGGGACUGAGACACGGCCCAGACUCCUACGGGAGGCAGCAGUGGGGAAUUGUUCGCAAUGGGCGCAAGCCUGACGACGCAACGCCGCGUGGAGGAUGAAGAUCUUCGGGUCGUAAACUCCUUUCGAUCGAGACGAACGGCUCUCGUGCUAAUCAGCGAGAGAGUGACGGUACCGAGAGAAGAAGCCCCGGCUAACUCCGUGCCAGCAGCCGCGGUAAUACGGGGGGGGCAAGCGUUGUUC